rnacentral:rRNA from 1 species
GACGAACGCUGGCGGCGUGCCUAAUACAUGCAAGUAGAACGCACAGUUUAUACCGUAGCUUGCUACACCAUAGACUGUGAGUUGCGAACGGGUGAGUAACGCGUAGGUAACCUGCCUGGUAGCGGGGGAUAACUAUUGGAAACGAUAGCUAAUACCGCAUAAUAUUGAUUAUUGCAUGAUAAUUGAUUGAAAGAUGCUAUUGCAUCACUACCAGAUGGACCUGCGUUGUAUUAGCUAGUAGGUGAGGUAACGGCUCACCUAGGCGACGAUACAUAGCCGACCUGAGAGGGUGAUCGGCCACACUGGGACUGAGACACGGCCCAGACUCCUACGGGAGGCAGCAGUAGGGAAUCUUCGGCAAUGGACGAAAGGCUGACCGAGCAACGCCGCGUGAGGGAAGAAGGUUGUCGGAUCGUAAAGCUCGGUUGUAAGAGAAGAACGGGUGUGAGAGUGGAAAGUUCACAAUGUGACGGUAUCUUACCAGAAAGGGACGGCUAACUACGUG